rnacentral:rRNA from 1 species
AGCGAACGCUGGCGGCAGGCCUAACACAUGCAAGUCGAACGAACUCUUCGGAGUUAGUGGCGGACGGGUGAGUAACACGUGGGAACGUGCCUUUUGGUUCGGAAUAACUCAGGGAAACUUGUGCUAAUACCGAAUGUGCCCUUCGGGGGAAAGAUUUAUCGCCAUUAGAGCGGCCCGCGUCUGAUUAGCUAGUUGGUGAGGCAACGGCUCACCAAGGCGACGAUCAGUAGCUGGUCUGAGAGGAUGACCAGCCACACUGGGACUGAGACACGGCCCAGACUCCUACGGGAGGCAGCAGUGGGGAAUCUUGCGCAAUGGGCGAAAGCCUGACGCAGCCAUGCCGCGUGAAUGAUGAAGGUCUUAGGAUUGUAAAAUUCUUUCACCGGGGACGAUAAUGACGGUACCCGGAGAAGAAGCCCCGGCUAACUUCGUG